rnacentral:sRNA from 1 species
CUUCUUCUUCUUCUUCCUCUUCCUCCUCCUCUUCU